UUAAGUUAUUAAGGGCGCACGGUGGAUGCCUUGGCACUAGAAGCCGAAGAAGGACGUUACUAACGACGAUAUGCUUUGGGUAGCUGUAAGUAAGCGUUGAUCCAGAGAUUUCCGAAUGGGGGAACCCAACAUGAGUUAUGUCAUGUUAUCGACAUGUGAAUUCAUAGCAUGUCAGAAGGCAGACCCGGAGAACUGAAACAUCUUAGUACCCGGAGGAAGAGAAAGAAAAAUCGAUUCCCUGAGUAGCGGCGAGCGAAACGGGAAGAGCCCAAACCAACAAGCUUGCUUGUUGGGGUUGUAGGACACUCUAUACGGAGUUACAAAAGAACAUGUUAGACGAAUCAUCUGGAAAGAUGAAUCAAAGAAGGUAAUAAUCCUGUAGUCGAAAACAUAUUCUCUCUUGAGUGGAUCCUGAGUACGACGGAGCACGUGAAAUUCCGUCGGAAUCUAGGAGGACCAUCUCCUAAGGCUAAAUACUCUCUAGUGACCGAUAGUGAACCAGUACCGUGAGGGAAAGGUGAAAAGUACCCCGGAAGGGGAGUGAAAGAGAACUUGAAACCGUGUGCUUACAAGUAGUCAGAGCCCGUUUAUGGGUGAUGGCGUGCCUUUUGUAGAAUGAACCGGCGAGUUACGAUCUGAUGCAAGGUUAAGCAGCGAAUGUGGAGCCGUAGCGAAAGCGAGUCUGAAUAGGGCGUUGAGUAUUUGGUCGUAGACCCGAAACCAGGUGAUCUACCCUUGGUCAGGUUGAAGUUCAGGUAACACUGAAUGGAGGACCGAACCGACUUACGUUGAAAAGUGAGCGGAUGAACUGAGGGUAGCGGAGAAAUUCCAAUCGAACUUGGAGAUAGCUGGUUCUCUCCGAAAUAGCUUUAGGGCUAGCCUCAAGUGAUGAUUAUUGGAGGUAGAGCACUGUUUGGACGAGGGGCCCCUCUCGGGUUACCGAAUUCAGACAAACUCCGAAUGCCAAUCAAUUUAACUUGGGAGUCAGAACAUGGGUGAUAAGGUCCGUGUUCGAAAGGGAAACAGCCCAGACCACCAGCUAAGGUCCCAAAAUAUAUGUUAAGUGGAAAAGGAUGUGGCGUUGCCCAGACAACUAGGAUGUUGGCUUAGAAGCAGCCAUCAUUUAAAGAGUGCGUAAUAGCUCACUAGUCGAGUGACACUGCGCCGAAAAUGUACCGGGGCUAAACAUAUUACCGAAGCUGUGGAUUGUCCUUCGGACAAUGGUAGGAGAGCGUUCUAAGGGCGUUGAAGCAUGAUCGCAAGGACAUGUGGAGCGCUUAGAAGUGAGAAUGCCGGUGUGAGUAGCGAAAGACGGGUGAGAAUCCCGUCCACCGAUUGACUAAGGUUUCCAGAGGAAGGCUCGUCCGCUCUGGGUUAGUCGGGUCCUAAGCUGAGGCCGACAGGCGUAGGCGAUGGAUAACAGGUUGAUAUUCCUGUACCACCUAGUAUCGUUUUAAUCGAUGGGGGGACGCAGUAGGAUAGGCGAAGCGUGCUGUUGGAGUGCACGUCCAAGCAGUAAGGCUGAGUGUUAGGCAAAUCCGGCACUCGUUAGGCUGAGCUGUGAUGGGGAGAGGAAAUUGUUUCCUCGAGUCGUUGAUUUCACACUGCCGAGAAAAGCCUCUAGAUAGAUAACAGGUGCCCGUACCGCAAACCGACACAGGUAGUCAAGAUGAGAAUUCUAAGGUGAGCGAGCGAACUCUCGUUAAGGAACUCGGCAAAAUGACCCCGUAACUUCGGGAGAAGGGGUGCUCUUUAGGGUUCACGCCCAGAAGAGCCGCAGUGAAUAGGCCCAAGCGACUGUUUAUCAAAAACACAGGUCUCUGCUAAACCGUAAGGUGAUGUAUAGGGGCUGACGCCUGCCCGGUGCUGGAAGGUUAAGAGGAGUGGUUAGCUUCUGCGAAGCCACGAAUCGAAGCCCCAGUAAACGGCGGCCGUAACUAUAACGGUCCUAAGGUAGCGAAAUUCCUUGUCGGGUAAGUUCCGACCCGCACGAAAGGCGUAACGAUUUGGGCACUGUCUCAACGAGAGACUCGGUGAAAUCAUAGUACCUGUGAAGAUGCAGGUUACCCGCGACAGGACGGAAAGACCCCGUGGAGCUUUACUGUAGCCUGAUAUUGAAAUUCGGCACAGCUUGUACAGGAUAGGUAGGAGCCAUUGAAACGUGAGCGCUAGCUUACGUGGAGGCGUUGGUGGGAUACUACCCUAGCUGUGUUGGCUUUCUAACCCGCACCACUUAUCGUGGUGGGAGACAGUGUCAGGCGGGCAGUUUGACUGGGGCGGUCGCCUCCUAAAAGGUAACGGAGGCGCUCAAAGGUUCCCUCAGAAUGGUUGGAAAUCAUUCACAGAGUGUAAAGGCAUAAGGGAGCUUGACUGCGAGACCUACAAGUCGAGCAGGGUCGAAAGACGGACUUAGUGAUCCGGUGGUUCCGCAUGGAAGGGCCAUCGCUCAACGGAUAAAAGCUACCCCGGGGAUAACAGGCUUAUCUCCCCCAAGAGUUCACAUCGACGGGGAGGUUUGGCACCUCGAUGUCGGCUCAUCGCAUCCUGGGGCUGUAGUCGGUCCCAAGGGUUGGGCUGUUCGCCCAUUAAAGCGGUACGCGAGCUGGGUUCAGAACGUCGUGAGACAGUUCGGUCCCUAUCCGUCGUGGGCGUAGGAAAUUUGAGAGGAGCUGUCCUUAGUACGAGAGGACCGGGAUGGACAUACCUCUGGUGUACCAGUUGUCGUGCCAACGGCAUAGCUGGGUAGCUAUGUAUGGACGGGAUAAGUGCUGAAAGCAUCUAAGCAUGAAGCCCCCCUCAAGAUGAGAUUUCCCAACUUCGGUUAUAAGAUCCCUCGAAGAUGACGAGGUUAAUAGGUUCGAGGUGGAAGCGUGGCGACACGUGGAGCUGACGAAUACUAAUCGAUCGAAGACUUAAUC
rnacentral:rRNA from 1 species